ensembl:lncRNA LINC01418 long intergenic non-protein coding RNA 1418
AGAGCACACUUGCAUGGGGUGGAGGAUAUUUUCAGCUGCUGAGUCUUCUUCAAGGAGGAGUUAGAGUCAAGACUCUCUGUCUCAGAACCUUGGAGUCCAAAUAGAAAAAAAAAAUUGGAGAUGUGGUAACAUCAAGUGUCAGCCAAGCUGAGAAAACUAGAUGCCAAAAAUGAUAUGUGUAAAAAGCAAGCGGGCCAAGCAGACACAACAGUUGCAGAGAUAAGAGGCAGUCGCUUUUCUUCAAUGGAGGUGCCGAUGCCUACAGAGGACUCACCCAGACCCUUCAAUCUGAUGUAGCAAAUAAUAAAGAGAGAGAUUCGGUACCUAUGGGAACAGCCUCUACUCAGUGACAUUCAAGACAUUUCAAUGCACCAUCUACCUCAUCUACCCAGGUGGCACCACCAGUGUGGGGUCCAGGAGACAGUGCAUCGGGAAGGGACAGAACAGCGAUCUCAGAGACCAGGACAGGCUCAGAGGGACACCUUGACCCUGGGGAAAGAAGAGGAGCCAGGGCCUUGUUUACAUGUUGAAAUCCUCAGGAGGUCAAGGACGAGCCAUACUGAUGAGAAUUAAAGACUCUUGGUGUGUCAGGAGAGAGGAAGAGUUAAAGUCUUGAAGAGGACUCUGUGACAGCUAAAGGUGCCAUAAUAGUGAAAGGAAAUACAAGAUUCCUGUUGUCAAGGACCUUACAUUCAAUAGGAGAAAGACGUACAAUAAGCAAAUAAAAAUACGGAGUCUGGCCCUGUCGCCCAGGCUGGAGUGCAAUGGUGCGAUCUUGGCUCACUGCAAGCUCCACCUCCUGGAUUCAAGCGAUUCUCCUGCCUCAGCCUCCUGAGUAGCUAGGACUACAGAGAGGAGGUUCUUAGUCUGUUGCCCAGGAUGGAAUGCAGUAGUGUGAUUACACCUAACUUCAGCCUGAAACUCCUGGGGUCAAGUUAUCCCCCGACCUCAUCAUCCCAAGUAAUGGGGACUACAGUUCUUAAGGUGGAGCGGAAUUCAUUUUAUUUGCAAAUGUGGAAGGCAUUAUAAAAACCGUGAAUGAUGCCCCCUCCCAUGAGGGAUACAGGGAGAGCCACGUGAAGAGGAUGUUGGGCUUCUUCAAGCUGGCAGGGCACUGAGCUGACUGUCCACCACACUCACCAGGGGCCUUUGUGCAUCCCGUGGGGCAGCUCUGGGAAAGGAGGGCCAGAAAGGAUGGGCUUUCCCUUUUCCUCGUGGCAGAAACUUCCCUGACUUCAUAGCUGGGUUCCCCCUAUCCACAGUUUACAGUACAACUAUCUCCUCCAAGUUGGCCAGCAUUGCCUCUGAUACGUGAACAAGAAGUAUUUGGAGGGUUAAUAAAUACAAAUCAACACAUAUACACAUGAAGAGAAAAUGGAUGUAAUAACCAAGGACUGCCUGAUAUGCGGGAACUGAAGCUCAGAAAGGCAAAACAACUUUUCAUGCUCUUCUACCUAAUAAGUCGGAGAACCAAGAUUCAAAUUCUAAAUGCGGGUCUGAUUGAGGCCAAGCAG